rnacentral:rRNA from 1 species
GAUGAACGCUAGCGGGAGGCCUAACACAUGCAAGCCGAGCGGUAUUUGUUCUUCGGAACAGAGAGAGCGGCGCACGGGUGCGGAACACGUGUGCAACCUGCCUUUAUCUGGGGGAUAGCCUUUCGAAAGGAAGAUUAAUACCCCAUAAUAUAUUGAGUGGCAUCGUUUGAUAUUGAAAACUCCGGUGGAUAGAGAUGGGCACGCGCAAGAUUAGAUAGUUGGUGAGGUAACGGCUCACCAAGUCAAUGAUCUUUAGGGGGCCUGAGAGGGUGAUCCCCCACACUGGUACUGAGACACGGACCAGACUCCUACGGGAGGCAGCAGUGAGGAAUAUUGGACAAUGGGUUAGCGCCUGAUCCAGCCAUCCCGCGUGAAGGACGACGGCCCUAUGGGUUGUAAACUUCUUUUGUAUAGGGAUAAACCUACUCUCGUGAGAGUAGCUGAAGGUACUAUACGAAUAAGCACCGGCUAACUCCGUG